AGUGAACGCUGGCGGUAGGCCUAACACAUGCAAGUCGAACGGCAGCACAGUAAGAGCUUGCUCUUACGGGUGGCGAGUGGCGGACGGGUGAGGAAUACAUCGGAAUCUACUUUUUCGUGGGGGAUAACGUAGGGAAACUUACGCUAAUACCGCAUACGACCUACGGGUGAAAGCAGGGGAUCUUCGGACCUUGCGCGAUUGCAUGAGCCGAUGUCGGAUUAGCUAGUUGGCGGGGUAAAGGCCCACCAAGGCGACGAUCCGUAGCUGGUCUGAGAGGAUGAUCAGCCACACUAGAACUGAGACACGGUCCAGACUCCUACGGGAGGCAGCAGUGGGGAAUAUUAGACAAUGGGCGCAAGCCUGAUCCAGCCAUACCGCGUGGGUGAAGAAGACCUUCGGGUUGUAAAGCCCUUUUGUUGGGAAAGAAAAGCAGCAGGUUAAUACCCCGCUGUUCUGACGGUACCCAAAGAAUAAGCACCGGCUAACUUCGUG
rnacentral:rRNA from 1 species